rnacentral:rRNA from 1 species
UACGUAGGGGGCAAGCGUUGUCCGGAAUCAUUGGGCGUAAAGCGCGUGUAGGCGGCCCGGUAAGUCCGCUGUGAAAGUCCAGGGCUCAACCCUGGAAUGCCGGUGGAUACUGUCGGGCUCGAGUCCGGAAGAGGCGAGUGGAAUUCCUGGUGUAGCGGUGAAAUGCGCAGAUAUCAGGAGGACACCAUGGCGAAGGCAGCUCGCUGGGACGGUACUGACGCUGAGACGCGAAAGCGUGGGUAGCAAACAGGG